rnacentral:snRNA from 1 species
CUUGCAUGUGUUCUCUGCAAAGCGUACAAGUCUUUCGCCUUUUACUAAAGACUUUCCGUGCAGAGGAGCAGCAGCGCUUUGUCAGUUGCAUUUUUUGCAGGCUCUGCCACUGGUAAAGCC